rnacentral:rRNA from 1 species
UAACGCGUGGGAAUCUCCCCUGGAGUGGGGGAUAACCGAGGGAAACCUCGGCUAAUACCGCAUACGACCUGAGGGUGAAAGAUUUAUCGCUCUAGGAGGGGCCCGCGUCGGAUUAGCUAGUUGGUGGGGUAAUGCCCUACCAAGGCUACGAUCCGUAGCUGGUUUGAGAGGAUGCCCAGCCCCACUGGGACUGAGACACGGCCCAGACUCCUACGGGAGGCAGCAGUGGGGAAUAUUGGCCAAUGGGGGAAACCCUGAUCCAGCAAUGCCGCGUGAGUGAUGAAGGCCUUAGGGUUGU